rnacentral:rRNA from 1 species
UACGUAGGGUGCAAGCGUUGUCCGGAAUUAUUGGGCGUAAAGAGCUCGUAGGCGGUUUGUCGCGUCUGCUGUGAAAACCCGAGGCUCAACCUCGGGCCUGCAGUGGGUACGGGCAGACUAGAGUGCGGUAGGGGAGAUUGGAAUUCCUGGUGUAGCGGUGGAAUGCGCAGAUAUCAGGAGGAACACCAAUGGCGAAGGCAGAUCUCUGGGCCGUAACUGACGCUAAGGAGCGAAAGCAUGGGGAGCGAACAGG